rnacentral:rRNA from 1 species
CCUACGGGUGGCAGCAGUGAGGAAUAUUGGUCAAUGGGCGCGAGCCUGAACCAGCCAAGUCGCGUGAGGGAUGACUGCCCUAUGGAUUGUAAACUUCUUUUAUAAAGGAAUAAAAUGAGGUACGUGUCCUUUUUUGUAUGUACUUUAUGACUAAGGAUCGGCUAACUCCGUGCCAGCAGCCGCGGUAAUACGGAGGAUCCGAGCGUUAUCCGGAUUUAUUGGGUUUAAAGGGCGCGUAGACGGGUUGUUAAGUCAGUUGUGAAAGUUUGCGGCUCAACCGUAAAAUUGCAAUUGAUACUGGCAGUCUUGAGUACAGUUGAGGUAGGCGGAAUUCGUGGUGUAGCGGUGAAAUGCUUAGAUAUCACGAAGAACCCCGAUUGCGAAGGCAGCUUACUAAACUGUGACUGACGUUGAUGCUCGAAAGUGUGGGUAUCAAACAGGAUUAGAUACCCUUGUAGUC